UACAGAGGUGGCAAGCGUUGCUCGGUAUCACUGGGCUUAAAGGGCGCGUAGGCGGUUGAUCAAGUCUGGGGUGAAAUCUUUCGGCUUAACCGGAAAAGUGCCUUGGAUACUGGUCAGCUGGAGGGAGGUAGGGGCAGUUGGAACUUCCAGUGGAGCGGUGAAAUGCGUUGAUAUUGGAAGGAACGCCGGUGGCGAAAGCGAGCUGCUGGACCUCUUCUGACGCUGAUGCGCGAAAGCUAGGGGAGCAAACGGG
rnacentral:rRNA from 1 species